CCGGCGACCGGCGGACGGGUGCGUAACGCGUAUGUAACCUACCUUUGACAGGGGGAUAACAUCGAGAAAUUGGUACUAAUACCCUAUAACAUCACCGGAGGCAUCUUCGGUGGUUGAAAACUCAGGUGGUCAGAGAUGGACAUGCGUUGUAUUAGCUAGUUGGUGAGGUAACGGCUCACCAAGGCGACGAUACAUAGGGGGACUGAGAGGUCAACCCCCCACAUUGGUACUGAGACACGGACCAAACUCCUACGGAAGGCAGCAG
rnacentral:rRNA from 1 species